AAACAACCCUGUGAGUGCGUGAUGGGUGCCGGGAAUUCUGAGCUAUUGCUGUGGACAGCAAGGCCCAGACAGGCCAGAAUGCCUGCUCUGCUAGAGCAACAGGGUGCGCUAGAAUGGCGACAUUCUAAUAAGGUGGAAUCUGCCCAAGGCUUGCUCCAGCUGCUUCCUGCUCAAAUGCUGGCCAGUUUGGUGGCCUAGAACGAGACAGACUGUGAGCUAUGAAGACAGCUGUCCAGUGACUGUCAAGUGCUUGUGUGGUACCCACCAUCUCUGGCCUGAUGGAGACCAAAGGUGAUCAGGGCUUCCUUUCCAGCAUUGCCUCUCGGAAGGCUUAGUGCAAAAGAUGACCGGUAACCAUGUGUUUCCUCUAACCGCAGGGAACCUGCCACAGAGCACCCGAGGACAAAUCACGACCAUUAUUAUUAAAUACAAAUUCCCUAAAUAUGUAGUGUAAAAUAGCAAUGAGCCGCAGAGUCGGGAGAGGAAUUUCUCCUUCUGAAAUUCCACUUGGCCAAUAAUAAGAAGAUAACGACAACAGUAAGAACCAUAAAGUAUUUUGAGCACUCACCAUGCACUGGAUUCUCUCUGAA